rnacentral:rRNA from 1 species
UACGAAGGGUGCAAGCGUUAAUCGGAUUUAUUGGGCGUAAAGGGCGUGUAGGCGGAAAAGAUAGUCAAAUGUGAAAUCCCAAGGCUUAACCUUGGAACUGCAUUUGAAACUCCUUAUCUAGAGGGUAGACGGAGAAAGUGGAAUUCCACAUGUAGCGGUAAAAUGCGUAGAUAUGUGGAAGAAUACCGGUGGCGAAGGCGACUUUCUAGUUUAUUCCUGACGCUGAGGCGCGAAAGCAAGGGGAGCAAACAGG